rnacentral:rRNA from 1 species
CCUACGGGAGGCAGCAGUGAGGAAUAUUGGUCAAUGGGCGCGAGCCUGAACCAGCCAAGUAGCGUGAAGGAUGACUGCCCUACGGGUUGUAAACUUCUUUUAUAAAGGAAUAAAGUGAGGCACGUGUGCCUUUUUAUAUGUACUUUAUGAAUAAGGAUCGGCUAACUCCGUGCCAGCAGCCGCGGUAAUACGGAGGAUCCGAGCGUUAUCCGGAUUUAUUUGGUUUAAAGGGAGCGUAGAUGGGUUUUUAAGUCAGUUGUGAAAGUUUGCGGCUCAACCGUAAAAUUGCAAUUGAUACUGGCAGUCUUGAGUACAGUUGAGGUAGGCGGAAUGCGUUGUGUAGCGGUCAAAUGCUUAGAUAUCACGAAGAACUCCGCUUGCGAAGUCAGCUUACUAAACUGCCACUGACAUUGAUGCUCGAAAGUGUGGGUAUCAAACAGGAUUAGAUACCCGAGUAGUA